rnacentral:rRNA from 1 species
CCUCCGGGAGGCAGCAGUGGGGAAUCUUGCGCAAUGGGCGAAAGCCUGACGCAGCAACGCCGCGUGAGGGACGAAGGUUUUCUGAAUUGUAAACCUCUUUCAGCAGGGAAGAUAAUGACGGUACCUGCAGAAGAAGCACCGGCUAACUACGUGCCAGCAGCCGCGGUGAUACGUAGGGUGCAAGCGUUGUCCGGAUUUAUUGGGCGUAAAGAGCUCGUAGGCGGUUUGGUAAGUCGGUUGUGAAAUCCCCAGGCUCAACCUGGGGCCUGCAUUCGAUACUGCCAUGACUAGAGUUUGGUAGGGGACCACGGAAUUCCUGGUGUAGCGGUGGAAUGCGCAGAUAUCAGGAGGAACACCAGUAGCGAAGGCGGUGGUCUGGGCCAAUACUGACGCUGAGGAGCGAAAGCGUGGGGAGCAAACAGGAUUAGAUACCCUGGUAGUCCACGCCGUAAACGGUGGGCACUAGGUGUGGGGACUAUUCAACGGUUUCCGCGCCGACGCUAACGCAUUAAGUGCCCCGCCUGGGGNGUACGCGCAGACGUAACUAAGUAGUAGUAGCGNGNGAGAGCGACGACGACGACGACGAGGAGAG